rnacentral:rRNA from 1 species
AACGAACGCUGGCGGCAUGCCUAACACAUGCAAGUCGAACGAUACCUGCGGGUAGAUUGGCGCACGGGUGCGUAACGCGUGGGAACCUGCCCUUAGGUUCGGAAUAACUCCCCGAAAGGGGUGCUAAUACCGGAUAAUGUCUUCGGACCAAAGAUUUAUCGCCGUUGGAUGGGCCCGCGUUGGGUUAGCUAGUUGGUAGGGUAAAAGCCUACCAAGGCGACGAUCCAUAGCUGGUCUGAGAGGAUGAUCAGCCACACUGGGACUGAGACACGGCCCAGACUACUACGGGAGGCAGCAGUGGGGAAUACUGGACAAUGGGCGAAAGCAUGAUCCAGCAAUGCCGCGUGAGUGAUGACGGCCUUAGGGUUGUAAAGCUCUUUUACACGGGAUGAUAAUGACAGUACCGGGAGAAUAAGCUCCGGCUAACUCCGUG